UGUAUAAAUCGAUUAGUUACAAUGCUGACAUUAAUAUUAUUUUUAUCUGGUAUCUAGUACUGAGGUUCAUUAUAUUAUCUACUAUAGUCUUUACAAAGUUUCUACUUAGACUUAUGUUGAUUAUUAUUAAUUGUGGAUUCUAAUAUUAAAGUUUUUUACCAAAAUACUCGAGGGCUUCGUACAAAGACACAAAUAUUUAAACGUAAUCUUUUAUUAACAUCUUUUGACAUUGUUUCGCUGACAGAGACGUGGUUGCUUGAGUGUUUGGGAGACAGUGAGUUGUUUGAUGAUAGGUACGUAGUAUUUAGACGGGAUAGAAAUUACGAAAUGACUGGCGAAAAAUAUGGCGGCGGAACAUUACUCGCCGUUCAUAGGGACUUCGCAGCCAUUGAACGACCUGAGUGGCGGUCAUCUGCAGAGGAUAUUUGGGUGACAAUUACGCUAAAAAAUAACAAUCUUAAAGAAAACAUAAAACUACAUGUUUGUACAAUAUACCUCUGCAAAGAAGCGCUUGGUAACUCUUUUAACAUGCAGUUGAGUAAUUUUUCAGAAAAGCUUUCGUCUAUAUUUGAUACUUGCCCGAAUGACUCGUUUUUAAUAUUAGGGGAUUUUAAUUUAAAAAAUGUAGAAUGGUGUGAUGAAGGAAACUAUCUGCGUCCUAGUGGGGUAUCUGGGGUUUCUCAAUUGUUAUUUUUUGAUACUCUGUCAGAAUGUAACCUUAACCAAUUUAAUUAUAUUAGAAAUUCCUCCUGUAAUCGUAUCCUGGACUAUGUACUAUCCAAUGGGCCCGUAGUUGUCUCACACUGUGAGGAUCCUCUGGUUCCUGAGGACCCACAUCACAAAUCGCUUGAGAUCAAAUUAUCCUUCUUAACAAAUGUCGCACUUAAGAGCAAUCCUAGAAUUAAAUUUGUGUACGAGAAAGCCGACUUUGAGGCAAUAGUGAGUUCACUUAAUGAAGUCGAUUGGAAAUUGUUGUUAUAUAAUUGCUCCUUAGAUGAUGCUACGGAUGCCUUCUAUAAUCACCUAUAUCGCUUGCGAGAUUUAUUUGUGCCUAGAAAAAUAAUUUCUUCAGGCAAAUUUCCUGUCUGGUACACGUCCUCUUUAAAAAAAUUACUUAAAGAAAAGCGUAAAUACUUUAUUAAGUUUAAAAAGUAUAGAAAUUUGAGUGACCGCGAAACUUUUAAUCUUUUGAGAGAGAGGGCGAAAAGACUGGAAAAAGAAUGCUAUUAUAUGUAUAUUAAACGGUGCGAAGAUACUAUAAUUGAGGAACCUAAAUUAUUCUGGUCUUUUAUAAAAUCUAAUAGACAUGGUUCGAACUCUUUGCCUUCAACCAUGUAUCUUGAAGAUCAAUCAGCUGAUACUAGUGAUGAUAUUUCCAAUCUUUUUGCUACAUAUUUCCAUUCUAAUUUUCAAGACAAUUCCACUGAUUCUUCAAAUUCUGUUCCUGCUGGUCAUUUGCAUGGAUUUAAUUCGAUCUCGAAUAUUGAAAUUGACACUGAUUUUGUUCUCAAAUCGUUAACAACUGUUGACAUCUCUAAAGGUGCAGGGCCUGACCUGAUUGAUGCUAAAUUUGUUGCUGGCUGUGCUGCUGGUUUAUGUCAUCCUUUAUCGAUUCUGUUUAGAAGGUCUAUUGUUGAAGGGACUGUGCCUAAAAUAUGGAAGCAAGCAUUUAUUACUCCAGUACAUAAAAAUGGAAGCAAGAGUAAUAUUAAAAAUUAUAGACCAAUUUCUAAAUUAUGCAUUUUCGUAAAAAUUUUUGAGAAAAUUAUACAUGAUCAAGUGUACAAUGCUUUGGCUUCAUCAUUUAUCGAAGAGCAGCAUGGUUUUCUAAGAAAGAGGUCGACUAACUCCAAUCUUAUUAGUUUUAUUGAUUAUGUUACAGUUAAUAUGGAAUCAGGUGGACAAGUGGACUCUGUGUUCACGGAUUUUAGCAAGGCAUUCGAUCGUAUCGAUCAUGGAAUCCUGCUAAAAAAACUUUACUUAGCCGGAAUCCAUGGAAACCUAUUUAGGUGGUUCAGCUCUUAUAUUGAAAACCGAUCCCAAGCCGUAGCUAUUAAUGGCUCCCUAUCUAUUUGGAAUGUGGUGCCUUCUGGGGUACCUCAAGGCUCAUUAUUAGGACCCUUACUUUUUAAUAUUUUCAUAAAUGAUGUGCGCUCCUGCUUCUCAAACUCUCAGGUUCUCCUUUACGCGGAUGAUAUGAAAAUUUUCAGUAACAUUUCUAGUGUGUCGGAUUGUUUACUUCUUCAAGAGGACUUAAAUAAAUUUGCUGAAUAUUGCUCUAGUAAUAAAUUGGACUUAAACAUUAAUAAAUGCUACUAUAUUUCAUUUACCAGAAAGACAAAACCGACGCAUUACAAUUAUUGUUUAUUAGGCAAUGAACUAAAGAGAGUCGAAGAGAUUCGGGACUUAGGUAUCAUACAUGAUUCAAAAUUAACAUACGAAAUUCAUAUCGAUCACAUAGUUAAAAAGGCCUCUAGAUCUUUAGGAUUUCUUAAAAGGUCGUGCUCUCAGUUCACUAAUGUUAAACUGAUAAAAAUACUAUACUGUGCCCUGGUUCGUAGCUCCCUCGAGUAUUGCUCCCAAGUCUGGAAUCCUCAGUUCAAUAUAUAUAUUGAUAGGCUUGAAUCAAUCCAAAGAAAAUUUUUAAGGUACUUGCAAUUUAAAACAAAGUGUUUUGAUUCUUACUAUAAUUCUAUGUGUUCAAGGUACCAUUUUCUGCCAUUAUAUAUUCGCAGACAAACUGCCGAUAUUAUGUUUUUAGUAAAAAUUGCUCAAAGCCAGUUAGAUACUCCAUCUUUAUUAAAUAAAAUUUAUUUGAAAGUGCCUACUAGAACUGUUAGGUUGCCCACAUUUCUAUAUGUUCCAUAUAGUGCAUGUAAAUAUAGACAUAACUCUUUCUUUGUCAGAUCUGCUAUUGAGAUAAAUAAAAUAGCUGCCCACCCAGAUCUUGAUUUAUUCAAUUCUAGUGUCAAUAAAUUUAAAAACACUUUAUCUCAGGCAUGGUUUAAUGGUUCUCUCUCUGCAAGUUAGGUGUUCUCCUUGUGUGAUAUAUCUCUUUUUUUUCUGAUUUCUCUCUUUUUUAUGUUAGUUUUUUCCCCCUAAAUUUUUCUUUCCUUCUCUUUCAGACAAGCUGCUUAGUUACUCAUAUGCGAGAACAUGUUAAUGGUCAUUUGUUGUUUAUUUCUUUGUUUAUCUAGUUAUGUAAGACUGUUUGUUCUCCAAAUAAAAUAAAAUAAAAUAAAAUAUUAUCACAUCUAUUUCCCUUGUGGGGUAGACAGAGUGAACUGUAGAGAGCUAGCUACAUAGCUAGCUGUAAAGAGGCUUAAAUCAAAUUUCAUCAGAAAUGAAGCAAAGAAAAAAUGCUUCUAGAGAGCCCAUAGUCAUGCCCAGAAAAUAUUUUGUGGUUUAAAUAUAUCUUAUGAUUGUUUAUCUUUAUUUUAGUAACUUAAGAGUUCUACUUUAGAAUACCCAAAGCUAUACAAACGUGAUUUAACGGGACAAAUUUGCACAACCUGGUUGAAACAGCACGAAAAAAUGAUGCAACUAACGAAAUAGUGGUAACCUGGUCGACGUUUGCGCAGGCUAAGUCCAAAGUUUUAUACGGUGUACACCAGACUAACAAGGUGGCCGUCGGCGGCAGCACUGUCUUCGUGGACAGCGGUAAAGAGAAGAGGAAAC